AGCAGAGUGGCCCAGCAGGAGUGUGCUGGGCCCAUAACCCAGAGGUUGAUGGAUGGAAACCAUUCUCUGCUA
rfam:Merops nubicus contig27631, whole genome shotgun sequence.